rnacentral:lncRNA from 1 species
CUCCGGGGGCCUAUCUCCCCGCGGCUGCCGGCCCACCUGCGCGCUCCGCGCCCGGGGGCAUGAGCCGCGCCGCCGCCGGAGCCCGAGCGGCGGGGGAGCCGCGCCGCAGCGGGAGGCGCCCGAGCCGCGCGUCCGGGAGAAGCGCGGGCAGGAAAACGGCGCCGCCACCGGAGCCGCCGGGAGUCGCCGGAGCCGCCGCGGGCAGCUUGAGCGCGGACACUCCGCGGCGGCCAAAGGACCAGCCCGGCCCGCCCGGCGCCCAGGAAACCGAGCCCGCCCCCGGCCGCCCAUUGGCGCGGCUGCCGAAGCCUGACUUCUCAUUGGCCGGUCACUGAUGUCACUCAGUGUCCAGCCAUCCCUCUCCUGCGGGAGGCGGGGGAGACACCUGUUCCGUGAGGGACAACUUGGUAAAGGGUCAGCGGUUCUGCCUCCUCCCCCGAGAAGGAAAGCAUCCAGCCUGCAGCUGCUCAAGGGAAAAAGAAUGAGAAGGAAUGCACGCUGCAUCACACACCCACGUCCUCUACCCAGUUGCUGUAUAUCUACAGAGCGUCAUAUGUGUUGGGAAUAUAAAAAAGCAGAAGAGCAUCUCAUGGCCCAGCCAAGGAGGCAGCACCCAUGCAUAGAAGGUAAGUAAGUGGGCAAAGCAGCACAUAAUACAUGGUACCGGCUUCAGAGGCAGGCUGGCUGUCACCUAAAGAAGGCUUCACUGAGGAGGUGGACAACACUGAAUCUGGAAGGAUAAAUGGAGAGAAACAAGACGUAACACACUUAUCAUUUGUUGAGCCCUUAUCAUGAUGGGCACUGUUCUAAAUACAGUACUUAGAGGGUGAGACUUCCAGAAUGGCAGAGUAAGGAGUGAGGUGGACCCUCUCCCCAGCAAAACAACUUAACUGAUAAAAAGUAUAAAACAAAACACAACACAAGGGGCCAGCCUGGUGGUGCAGCGGUUAAGUUCGUGUGCUCUGCUUCGGUGGCCCAGAGUUCAUGGGUUUGGAUCCCAGGCAUGGACCUAUGUACCGCUUAUCAAACCAUGCUGUGGCAGGCAUCUCACAUAUAAAAUAGAGGAAGAUAGGUGUGGAUGUUAACUCAGGGCCAAUCUUCCUCAGCAAAAAAAGACAAGAGGAGGAUUGGCAGCGGAUGUUAGCUGAGAGCUAAUCUUCCUCAAAAAAAUAAAAAUAAGUAAAAAUAAAAACA